UACGGGGGGUGCGAGCGUUGUCCGGAAUCACUGGGCGUAAAGGGCGCGUAGGUGGUUUGAUAAGGGUGUGGUGAAAGUCCGGGGCUCAACCCCGGAUCUGCCGUGCCGACUGUCAAACUCGAGGACUGUAGAGGCAGACGGAAUUCCGGGUGUAGCGGUGGAAUGCGUAGAGAUCCGGAGGAAGACCGGUGGCGAAGGCGGUCUGCUGGGCAGUCUCUGACACUGAGGCGCGACAGCGUGGGGAGCAAACAGG
rnacentral:rRNA from 1 species